rnacentral:misc_RNA from 1 species
AAAAAAAAAAAGAAAAGAAAGAAAUAUCUGUAUCUGCAGUUGGAUAUGGGAAGUGCUGGAAAGCGUGGAUUAGUUUGUUUUUAGUAACCCUCACGAGUUUUAGACAGUGGUGUCGCCGUGUCGGGUUUAAAAUGGUUGUGUUAAUUGGAAUUGAGUUGGGUUUGGAAUCCGCGCAUAGAGUUGGUUGUACAAAGGGAGAGAAGCGUGAAUAAAAAGAAGGUGGAGGGCAAAGAUGAUAUAAGAAAG